CCUACGGGCGGCUGCAGUAGGGAAUCUUUCACAAUGGGCGAAAGCCUGAUGGAGCAACGCCGCGUGCAGGAUGAAGGCCUUCGGGUUGUAAACUGCUUUUAUAAGCGAGAAAUAUGAUGGUAACUUAUGAAUAAGGAUCGGCUAACUACGUGCCAGCAGCCGCGGUCAUACGUAGGAUCCGAGCAUUAUCCGGAGUGACUGGGUGUAAAGAGUUGCGUAGGUGGCAUAAUAAGUAGCUAGUGAAAUCUGGUGGCUCAACCAUUCAGACUAUUAGCUAAACUGUUAAGCUCGAGACCGUUAGGGGUAACUGGAAUUUCUGGUGUAGGAGUGAAAUCCGUAGAUAUUAGGAGGAACACCAAUAGCGUAGGCAGGUUGCUGGGACGGUUCUGACACUAAGGCACGAAAGCGUAGGGAGCAAACGGGAUUAGAUACCCCAGUAGUC
rnacentral:rRNA from 1 species